rnacentral:piRNA from 1 species
UUCGAUGAACUGUUCACACCCAC